CCUACGGGUGGCAGCAGUGAGGAAUUUUGGUCAAUGGCCGCAAGUCUGAACCAGCCAAGUCGCGUGACGGAAGACGGCCCUACGGGUUGUAAACCUCUUUUGUCGGGGAGCAAAGCGAGUCGCGUGUGACUCCUUGUGAUUACCCUACGAAAAAGCAUCGGCUAACUCCGUUCCAUCCGCCGCGGUAAUACGGAGGAUGCGAGCGUUAUCCGGAUUUAUUGGGUUAAACGGGGGCGCAGGCGGAGGUGCAAGUCAGCGGUCAAAUUGCGGGGCUCAACCCCGUACUGCCGUUGAAACUGCAGGCCUAGAGUGUGCGAGAGGGAGGCGGAAUGCGAGGUGUAGCGGUGAAAUGCAUAGAGAUCACGCAGAAUUCCGAUUGCGAAGGCAGCAUACUGGGGCGAAACUGACGCUCAUGCACGAAAGCGUGGGUAGCGAACAGGAUUAGAUACCCCUGUAGUC
rnacentral:rRNA from 1 species